rnacentral:misc_RNA from 1 species
CAAAUUCACUUUCUUUUCAAUCCAAUUCAGCAAUCUCUCUUUUUGAACACAAAUGGGUGUUGAUUACUAUAACCUACUGAAAGUUAACCGUAGCGCGACGGACGAUGACCUGAAAAGGGCCUACAAGCGACUGGCCAUGAAAUGGCAUCCCGAUAAGAAUCCUGCUAACAAGAAAGAAGCCGAAGCUAAGUUCAAGCAAAUUUCUGAAGCUUAUGAGCGUAUGAUGUUCUCAGCGACUCGCAGAAGCGUCAGAUCUAUGAUCUAUAUGGGGAAGAGGGGCUUAAGUCUUUUGAGUAAAGUCUUUUGAAUUUGGUGGGCCCGGGGAUGAGGGGAAGUCGUCGUCGAAGACGACCAACAAUACGACAUUCCGGUUCAAUCAGCGGGACGCGGACGACAUUUUCAACGAGUUCUUCGGUGGAUCUGGCGGCUGUGGUAUGGGUGGUGGGAGUGGGAAGAGUGGGUUUCCUAGGAAUGGGGAGACCGGGAAUCAGGGGAACAGGAAGGCGGCGUCGAUUGAGAGCAAGUUGACGUGCAGUUUAGAGGAGCUCUAUAAUGGAGCUAGAAGGAAGAUGAGGAUUUCACGUUCUGUCCCUGAUGACUUCGGUAAGCCAAAGACUGUUGAGGAAAUCUUAAAGAUAGAUAUCAAACCGGGCUGGAAGAAAGGCACAAAAAUCACUUUCCCAGAGAAAGGGAACCAAGAACCUGGUGUUAUUCCGGCUGAUCUUAUCUUCGUGGUGGAUGAGAAGCCCCAUCCUGUUUUCAAGCGGGAUGGGAACGAUCUGGUUGUCAAUCAGAAAAUCUCAUUACUAGAGGCUCUCACAGGGAAGACUGUUGACUUAAGAACCUUGGAUGGAAGGUAUCUUACUAUCCCAGUAACAGAUAUUAUCAAACCGAGCCAUGAGAUCGUGAUAUUGAAUGAAGGAAUGCCCAUCUCAAAAGAACCACACAAGAAAGGAAAACUUAGAAUCAAGUUUGAUGUGACAUUCCCAUCAAGACUGACUGCAGAACAGAAAUCUGAUCUCAAGAGGGUGCUGGGUGGUGCUGAUAAUUAGUUAGUUCCAAGUUGAAGCUUGGGUUGCUGAUCAUCAAUCAAUACUAAUUAUUUAUGUAAGUUAAUUAAAUGUAAAUACAUUUGCAUAUUCCACUGUUCCAGAGCAAGAUUGUGCAUAGUAGGAAGAAAGUUACAAGUAUUUUAAGCAGUACUUUAGCUAUGUGGCUUGGGAAAAACUAUCUAUGAUCAAAGCUGUCAAAAGAUAACUCCUAAUUGAAAUUUGUAUCUAGUGAUCAACUAAUUUAGUCUUUUUGCUUUGAAGUUGAAGCCGGAAAACCCUCCGUAUUAUGUACUUGAGAAAUGAUGACAUCUAAUGCA